rnacentral:misc_RNA from 1 species
GAUGAAGAACGUAGCGAAAUGCGAUAAGUAAUGCGAAUUGCAGAAUUUCCGUGAGUCAUCGAAUCUUUGAGCGCACAUUGCGCCCACUGGUAUUCCGGUGGGCAUGCCUGUUCGAGCGUCAUUAUCCUCCCUCAAACCCCGGGUUUGGUGUUGGACCCAAGUUGUGUGAACAACUGGUCUUAAAGACAAUGACGGCGUCCGUGGGACCCUCGGUGCAACGAGCUUUUAGGAGCACGCAUCGAGUUGCAAGGACCUUCCGGGCCGGUCUCCUUUACUAUUUUACAAGGUUGACCUCGGAUCAGGUAGGAAUACCCGCUGAACUUAAGCAUAUCAAUAAGCGGAGGA